rnacentral:rRNA from 1 species
UACGUAGGCAGCGAGCGUUGUUCGGAGUUACUGGGCGUAAAGAGUGCGUAGGCGGUUUUCUAAGUUUGGUGUGAAAUCUCCCGGCUUAACUGGGAGGGUGCGCCGAAAACUGGAAGGCUUGAGUAUGGGAGAGGUAAGCGGAAUUCCUGGUGUAGCGGUGAAAUGCGUAGAUAUCAGGAGGAACACCUGCGGUGUAGACGGCUUACUGGACCAUAACUGACGCUGAGGUGCGAAAGCGUGGGGAGCAAACAGG